rnacentral:rRNA from 1 species
UAAUACGGAGGGUGCAAGCGUUAUCCGGAAUCACUGGGUUUAAAGGGUGCGUAGGCGGCAUUAUAAGUCAGGAGUGAAAUUCCACAGCUUAACUGUAGGGACUGCUUUUGAUACUGUAGUGCUAGAACCGAGAUGAGGUAGGCGGAAUGUGACAUGUAGCGGUGAAAUGCAUAGAUAUGUCAUAGAACACCAAUUGCGAAGGCAGCUUACUAGACUUAGGUUGACGCUGAGGCACGAAAGCGUGGGGAGCAAACAGGAUUAGAUACCCUGGUAGUCCACGCCCUAAACGAUGCUAACUCGACGUUUGGGAUUAAUUUUUGAGCGUCCAAGCGAAAGCGAUAAGUUAGCCACCUGGGGAGUACGUUCGCAAGAAUGAAACUCAAAUGAAUUGACGG